ACUCAAUCUGCAAAAUCUCUUUCUAAUUGGUCUGGUGGUUCUCAGUAUUCGCCAGUAGAAAGGUUUGUUCAUAAUGCGAAAUGUAUGUCCUUAAGUCAGUUCUGCAAAAUCAAACAUGUAAGUUGAAUACUAUAGAGCCGAAUUUAUCUUUACUAUUACAAUUAUAUUGUUUGCUUUUUGAAAUUAAUAUCAUUUUUGAUUUGCUUUUAGGAAACUUUAUGUGUUACUGUAGCAACCACAUUGAAAUUUGUUGUCUCAAAGUAUGGAUGGUUUUAUUAUGGCUACACAAGGUGUUCUUCGAAGGCACCUAAUCCUGAAAAAGCUUAUGAAUGUUCAUGUGGGCAAAAAGUCGAACAGCCUAUACCAAGGUACAAGAUUGAGAUAUAUGUUAGCAAUGGUGAAUCAAAAUAUCGAUUUGUAUUCUGGGAUUCCGAAUGUGCUGCUAUACUUGGAAUGACUGCUGAAUUUAUGCAUAACUCUAUGGUGGAGGUACAUUGUUAUACAUAAGUUAAAAUGUUAAUAGUUUAUCGAGUUGUAAAGUUCAGAUUAUCACUCAUGGUUGAUAUUUUAUUUUUCCAUUAGAAUGGAGAAGAUGAUCCAAUGGUUUAUCCUGAUGAGCUUGAAAUGCUGUUGAAUAAGAAAAUGGCUUUUAGAGUUAAGGUGCAGCCAACGUUUUCCCAAGCGUCUGUUUGGAAGCUUUGUGAUGAUGAAGCCUUUGUUAAAGAGAUUGAAAAUGACUACAUAGUAGAAGACGUAUAAUAUUCACUUAAUUCAUGUAUUAUUUAAACAUUUAACAAAUAUAAUAAAUAUUCGAUGUUUCAAUGUGCAGAAUCAGUCUAAAACUGAAUAUGCAAAGUUGGUCCCUAACAAAGAAAAUUUGGAAACUUCCGCACAAACAUUAUCUGCAUCUGGUGAAAAUGAUCCAGAAUCAAUCAUUCUAAUGACUCCGGCUAAGGAUGUUGUAAUUGCUGACAAGGGUGAAGAAGUUGAUUUUGAAGCGUCUGGCGCUACGCAAUUAUCAGGCACCAAACCAUCCAAGAAAGUAAAGAUAGAACCAUCUUCUUAAUUAGAAUUUUCGGAAAUUUGAUAUUGAAAUAUAUUUUAUGA